GACGAACGCUGGCGGCGUGCUUAACACAUGCAAGUCGAACGAUGAAGCUAGAGCUUGCUCUGGUGGAUUAGUGGCGAACGGGUGAGUAACACGUGAGUAACCUGCCCCGAACUCUGGGAUAACUGCUGGAAACGGUAGCUAAUACCGGAUAUGACCAAUGAAGGCAUCUUCUGUUGGUGGAAAGAAUUUCGGUUCGGGAUGGACUCGCGGCCUAUCAGCUUGUUGGUGAGGUAACGGCGCACCAAGGCGACGACGGGUAGCCGGCCUGAGAGGGUGAUCGGCCACACUGGGACUGAGACACGGCCCAGACUCCUACGGGAGGCAGCAGUGGGGAAUAUUGCACAAUGGGCGCAAGCCUGAUGCAGCAACGCCGCGUGAGGGACGACGGCCUUCGGGUUGUAAACCUCUUUUAGUAGGGAAGAAGCGAAAGUGACGGUACCUGCAGAAAAAGCACCGGCUAACUACGUGCCAGCAGCCGCCGUAA
rnacentral:rRNA from 1 species